rnacentral:lncRNA from 1 species
AGGCUGGGGGGUUUUUCUGGGGAUUGGUCAUCGUGUGGCACGAUGGGGUUGCCACUGACGUGGCCGUUACUGGGCGUCGUGGGGCAGUGCUGGGUACGGCCAUGGCAGGGCGUAGUGGAGCUCCGCUUUGUACGGCUGUUACAGGGGAUCGUGGGGCAGCGCCGGAUUCGGCCGUUGCAGGGAGUAGUGGAGCAGGGGGCCGCGGCGUGCCUCAGGGGAACAGUCUGUUGUUGUCAAGAGAUUGCCGACCCGAGGUCGGAUUGC